rnacentral:miRNA from 1 species
GGUAGAGGAGGAGGAGGAGGAGGAGGAGGGGAAGAGGAGGAAGAGGGAUGGAGGAGAUGAAGGAAGCAAUUAAAAGGUGGUAAGGAUGAUAACAUUCCCCCCUCCCCUUCCCCAUCUCCCUCCCCGUCCCUCCCUUUCU